rnacentral:rRNA from 1 species
AUUGAACGCUGGCGGCAGGCCUAACACAUGCAAGUCGAACGGUAACAGGAAACAGCUUGCUGGUGGUGGAUUAGUGGCGAACGGGUGAGUAACACGUGAGUAACCUGUCCUUCACUCUGGGAUAAGCCCUGGAAACGGGGUCUAAUACUAGAUAUUCUCAAUGUGCCGCAUGGUGUGUUGUGGAAAGAUUUUUUGGUGAGGGUUGGACUCGCGGCCUAUCAGCUUGUUGGUGGGGUAGUGGCCUACCAAGGCUUUGACGGGUAGCCGGCCUGAGAGGGUGACCGGCCACACUGGGACUGAGACACGGCCCAGACUCCUACGGGAGGCAGCAGUGGGGAAUAUUGCACAAUGGGCGCAAGCCUGAUGCAGCGACGCCGCGUGGGGGAUGAAGGCCUUCGGGUUGUAAACUCCUUUCGCCAUUGACGAAGCCCUUUGGGGUGACGGUAGGUGGAGAAGAAGCACCGGCUAACUACGUGCCAGCCGCCGCUGUAAGAC